CCUACGGGCGGCAGCAGUGAGGAAUAUUGGUCAAUGGGCGAGAGCCUGAACCAGCCAAGUCGCGUGAGGGAGUACUGCCCUAUGGGUUGUAAACCUCUUUUGUCGGGGAGCAAAAGCAGGACGUGUCCGGCUGUGAGAGUACCCGAAGAAAAAGCAUCGGCUAACUCCGUGCCAGCAGCCGCGGUAAUACGGAGGAUGCGAGCGUUAUCCGGAUUUAUUGGGGUUAAAGGGUGCGCAGGCGGAUUUUUAAGUCAGCGGUCAAAUCGUGGGGCUCAACCCCAUCCAGCCGUUGAAACUGGGGAUCUAGAGUGUGCGAGAGGUAUGCGGAAUGCGUGGUGUAGCGGUGAAAUGCAUAGAUAUCACGCAGAACCCCGAUUGCGAAGGCAGCAUACCGGUGCACAACUGACGCUCAGGCACGAAAGCGUGGGUAUCGAACAGGAUUAGAUACCCUUGUAGU
rnacentral:rRNA from 1 species